AUUGAACGCUGGCGGCAGGCCUAACACAUGCAAGUCGAACGAGUGGCGGACGGGUGAGUAAUGUCUGGGAAACUGCCCGAUGGAGGGGGAUAACUACUGGAAACGGUAGCUAAUACCGCAUACCAUCGGAUGUGCCCAGAUGGGAUUAGCUUGUAGGUGAGGUAACGGCUCACCUAGGCGACGAUCCCUAGCUGUUCUGAUAGGAUGACCAGCCAAACUGGAAAUGAGCAACUGUCCAGACUCCUACGGGAGGCAGCAGUGGGGAAGAGUGUAAAAUGGGCGGAAGCAUGAUGCAGCCAUGCGGCGGGGAUGAAGAAGGCCUUCGGGUUGUAAAGUAAUUUAAGCGGGGAGGCGUUACCCGCAGAAGAAGCACAGGCUAACUCCGUGCCAGAAGCCGCGGUAAUUC
rnacentral:rRNA from 1 species